AUUUAGCCCUGAUCGAAACGGUAUCCUUUGUUUUUUUAUUUAAAAAAGCAAAGAUAUAGUGAAGAGCAGGAACCAUG
rnacentral:sRNA from 1 species